rnacentral:rRNA from 1 species
AACGAACGCUGGCGGCAGGCUUAACACAUGCAAGUCGAGCGCAUCCUUCGGGGUGAGCGGCAGACGGGUGAGUAACGCGUGGGAACGUACCCUUUCCUACGGAAUAGCUCCGGGAAACUGGAAUUAAUACCGUAUACGCCCUUAAGGGGAACGAUUUAUCGGGGAAGGAUCAGCCCGCGUUGGAUUAGCUAGUUGGUGGGGUAAAGGCCUACCAAGGCGACGAUCCAUAGCUGGUCUGAGAGGAUGAUCAGCCACAUUGGGACUGAGACACGGCCCAAACUCCUACGGGAGGCAGCAGUGGGGAAUAUUGGACAAUGGGCGCAAGCCUGAUCCAGCCAUGCCGCGUGAGUGAUGAAGGCCCUAGGGUUGUAAAGCUCUUUCAGUGGGGACGAUAAUGACGGUACCCACAGAAGAAGCCCCGGCUAACUUCGUGCCAGCAGCCGCGGUAA